AGCAGUGACGUCACUAAUGAGACACACCUGGGAGAGAUGUGACAGCGACGGUGGGAAUGUUCAGGUGUGUCUUAAUCGGUCUAUGAAGGACGGAUUUGAUUAUUUGUUUUUUGGAGCUCUGCCAUUCUGUGUUGUGUUGAUUUUGUUUUUUUUUUUCAUCCGUGAAAUAAAACCUGGAGCGCCGACAUCAAGAAGAGAGAGGACUUUAAAGUCAGAAGAGGGAAGACGACCACCAACAAACAGGAAAAUACGGAUGACACAGAGUCAGUCCUGAAGCAACAGGACUCAUUCAUCAGAGAUGACAUGCUGGAGGCCACAGAGUGACAUUAUGCUCAAGCACGGCAAGUGAGCACUACUGCAGUCACCUUCACAUGAGGCCCAAAACCACCAAUACCUGAGUGAGCAGACAUGAGAGAGCUGAGACACAGAGACAUGCUGCCUCCUGGCAUCAUCCUCCCCAUCCCUGACUCUGAGAAAGGAGAGCAAGAACGGUUACAGUUGUGGUGGCUCUUGGUGACGCUGUCCGAGUCCAAGGCGUGGUAAAAGUCGUAGACCGAACGACCCAGCAGAUCCUCCGGAG